GGAAUAUUGGUCAAUGGACGCAAGUCUGAACCAGCCAUCCCGCGUGCAGGACGACGGCCCUAUGGGUUGUAAACUGCUUUUGUACAGGAAGAAUAAGCACUACGUGUAGUGUGAUGACGGUACUGUAAGAAUAAGGAUCGGCUAACUCCGUGCCAGCAGCCGCGGUAAUACGGAGGAUCCAAGCGUUGUCCGGAUUUAUUGGGUUUAAAGGGUGCGUAGGCGGUCUAUUAAGUCAGUGGUGAAAGUUUGC
rnacentral:rRNA from 1 species